rnacentral:tRNA from 6 species
GGGCCCUUAGCUCAGUCGGUAGAGCAACUGACUUUUAAUCAGUAGGUCGCAGGUUCGACCCCUGCAGGGCUCACCA